GAUGGUUCAUUCAAAUUUCUGGCCCUAUCAACUUUCGAUGGUAGGAUAGUGGCCUACCAUGGUUUCAACGGGUAACGGGGAAUUAGGGUUCUAUUCCGGAGAGGGAGCCUGAGAAACGGCUACCACAUCCAAGGAAGGCAGCAGGCGCGCAAAUUACCCAAUCCCGACACGGGGAGGUAGUGACAAUAAAUACUGAUACAGGGCUCUUUUGGGUCUUGUAAUUGGAAUGAGUACAAUUUAAAUCCCUUAACGAGGAACAAUUGGAGGGCAAGUCUGGUGCCAGCAGCCGCGGUAAUUCCAGCUCCAAUAGCGUAUAUUAAAGUUGUUGCAGUUAAAAAGCUCGUAGUUGAACCUUGGGCCUGGCUGGCCGGUCCGCCUCACCGCGUGCACUGGUCCGGCCGGGCCUUUCCUUCUGGGGAGCCGCACGCCCUUCACUGGGUGUGUCGGGGAACCAGGACUUUUACUUUGAAAAAAUUAGAGUGUUCAAAGCAGGCCUAUGCUCGAAUACAUUAGCAUGGAAUAAUAGAA
rnacentral:rRNA from 1 species